CUAAGGUGUGGGCUCAGCUCACUUUUAAAAAAAUGGAGGAUGAGAAAUGGUUUGUAAAAAAAUUGUGUUUAUGUUGAUAGAGAAAUUUCAUUGUGGAUUCAGAAAGAAUAGAACGAAUUUUGUUGUAAUUGAAAUAGAAUACAUGAAUCAUAUGGCUUUCAUUUAUGAAAAACCUAAAUAGUUUAGACACACGAUAACCAUUGUUGUCUUUGCAACCGGAUUUAAUUUCUCAAAACAGUGAU
rnacentral:lncRNA from 1 species